rnacentral:rRNA from 1 species
GAUGAACGCUGGCGGCGUGCCUAAUACAUGCAAGUCGAGCGAACAGACGAUGAGCUUGCUCCUCUGACGUUAGCGGCGGACGGGUGAGUAACACGUGGAUCACCUACCUAUAUGACUGGGAUAACUUCGGGAAACCGGAGCUAAUACCGGAUAAUAUAUUGAACCGCAUGGUUCAAUAGUGAAAGACGGUUUUGCUGUCACUUAUAGAUGGAUCCGCGCCGCAUUAGCUAGUUGGUAAGGUAACGGCUUACCAAGGCGACGAUGCGUAGCCGAACUGAGAGGGUGAUCGGCCACACUGGAACUGAGACACGGUCCAGACUCCUACGGGAGGCAGCAGUAGGGAAUCUUCGGCAAUGGGCGAAAGCCUGACGGAGCAACGCCGCGUGAGUGAAGAAGGUCUUCGGAUCGUAAAACUCUGUUAUUAGGGAAGAAAAAAUGUGUAAGUAAAUAUGCACGUCUUGACGGUACCUAAUCAGAAAGCAACGGCUAACUACGUG